AAGUCGUAACAAGGUUUCCGUAGGUGAACCUGCGGAAGGAUCAUUAACACUUAUCCAACGUUAAACCCCCCGUGCAUCUUUAGAGAGCUCUUGUAAGCCCAUUAUGACAGCAAUCCUGGUAAAUCAGAGGCUCAACACGGGCCGGUGGACAGACUGUCCCCAUGCCCCUUUAUGACGACCACGUUAAAUAAGGCCUCUACCACAUAGCAAGUGCCGUGGUAGAGGAAAACGUACAACUGUUAACAAUGGAUAUCUUGGUUCUC
rnacentral:misc_RNA from 1 species